rnacentral:rRNA from 1 species
UUAAGCGACUAAGCGUACACGGUGGAUGCCCUGGCAGUCAGAGGCGAUGAAGGACGUGCUAAUCUGCGAUAAGCGUCGGUAAGGUGAUAUGAACCGUUAUAACCGGCGAUUUCCGAAUGGGGAAACCCAGUGUGAUUCGUCACACUAUCAUUAACUGAAUCCAUAGGUUAAUGAGGCGAACCGGGGGAACUGAAACAUCUAAGUACCCCGAGGAAAAGAAAUCAACCGAGAUUCCCCCAGUAGCGGCGAGCGAACGGGGAGCAGCCCAGAGCCUGAAUCAGUGUGUGUGUUAGUGGAAGCGUCUGGAAAGGCGCGCGAUACAGGGUGACAGCCCCGUACACAAAAAUGCAUAUACUGUGAGCUCGAUGAGUAGGGCGGGACACGUGGUAUCCUGUCUGAAUAUGGGGGGACCAUCCUCCAAGGCUAAAUACUCCUGACUGACCGAUAGUGAACCAGUACCGUGAGGGAAAGGCGAAAAGAACCCCGGCGAGGGGAGUGAAAAAGAACCUGAAACCGUGUACGUACAAGCAGUGGGAGCCUCUUUUAUGGGGUGACUGCGUACCUUUUGUAUAAUGGGUCAGCGACUUAUAUUCUGUAGCAAGGUUAACCGAAUAGGGGAGCCGAAGGGAAACCGAGUCUUAACUGGGCGUUAAGUUGCAGGGUAUAGACCCGAAACCCGGUGAUCUAGCCAUGGGCAGGUUGAAGGUUGGGUAACACUAACUGGAGGACCGAACCGACUAAUGUUGAAAAAUUAGCGGAUGACUUGUGGCUGGGGGUGAAAGGCCAAUCAAACCGGGAGAUAGCUGGUUCUCCCCGAAAGCUAUUUAGGUAGCGCCUCGUGAAUUCAUCUCCGGGGGUAGAGCACUGUUUCGGCAAGGGGGUCAUCCCGACUUACCAACCCGAUGCAAACUGCGAAUACCGGAGAAUGUUAUCACGGGAGACACACGGCGGGUGCUAACGUCCGUCGUGAAGAGGGAAACAACCCAGACCGCCAGCUAAGGUCCCAAAGUCAUGGUUAAGUGGGAAACGAUGUGGGAAGGCCCAGACAGCCAGGAUGUUGGCUUAGAAGCAGCCAUCAUUUAAAGAAAGCGUAAUAGCUCACUGGUCGAGUCGGCCUGCGCGGAAGAUGUAACGGGGCUAAACCAUGCACCGAAGCUGCGGCAGCGACACUAUGUGUUGUUGGGUAGGGGAGCGUUCUGUAAGCCUGUGAAGGUGUGCUGUGAGGUAUGCUGGAGGUAUCAGAAGUGCGAAUGCUGACAUAAGUAACGAUAAAGCGGGUGAAAAGCCCGCUCGCCGGAAGACCAAGGGUUCCUGUCCAACGUUAAUCGGGGCAGGGUGAGUCGACCCCUAAGGCGAGGCCGAAAGGCGUAGUCGAUGGGAAACAGGUUAAUAUUCCUGUACUUGGUGUUACUGCGAAGGGGGGACGGAGAAGGCUAUGUUGGCCGGGCGACGGUUGUCCCGGUUUAAGCGUGUAGGCUGGUUUUCCAGGCAAAUCCGGAAAAUCAAGGCUGAGGCGUGAUGACGAGGCACUACGGUGCUGAAGCAACAAAUGCCCUGCUUCCAGGAAAAGCCUCUAAGCAUCAGGUAACAUCAAAUCGUACCCCAAACCGACACAGGUGGUCAGGUAGAGAAUACCAAGGCGCUUGAGAGAACUCGGGUGAAGGAACUAGGCAAAAUGGUGCCGUAACUUCGGGAGAAGGCACGCUGAUAUGUAGGUGAAGUCCCUUGCGGAUGGAGCUGAAAUCAGUCGAAGAUACCAGCUGGCUGCAACUGUUUAUUAAAAACACAGCACUGUGCAAACACGAAAGUGGACGUAUACGGUGUGACGCCUGCCCGGUGCCGGAAGGUUAAUUGAUGGGGUUAGCGGUAACGCGAAGCUCUUGAUCGAAGCCCCGGUAAACGGCGGCCGUAACUAUAACGGUCCUAAGGUAGCGAAAUUCCUUGUCGGGUAAGUUCCGACCUGCACGAAUGGCGUAAUGAUGGCCAGGCUGUCUCCACCCGAGACUCAGUGAAAUUGAACUCGCUGUGAAGAUGCAGUGUACCCGCGGCAAGACGGAAAGACCCCGUGAACCUUUACUAUAGCUUGACACUGAACAUUGAGCCUUGAUGUGUAGGAUAGGUGGGAGGCUUUGAAGUGUGGACGCCAGUCUGCAUGGAGCCGACCUUGAAAUACCACCCUUUAAUGUUUGAUGUUCUAACGUUGGCCCCUGAUCGGGGUUGCGGACAGUGUCUGGUGGGUAGUUUGACUGGGGCGGUCUCCUCCUAAAGAGUAACGGAGGAGCACGAAGGUUGGCUAAUCCUGGUCGGACAUCAGGAGGUUAGUGCAAUGGCAUAAGCCAGCUUGACUGCGAGCGUGACGGCGCGAGCAGGUGCGAAAGCAGGUCAUAGUGAUCCGGUGGUUCUGAAUGGAAGGGCCAUCGCUCAACGGAUAAAAGGUACUCCGGGGAUAACAGGCUGAUACCGCCCAAGAGUUCAUAUCGACGGCGGUGUUUGGCACCUCGAUGUCGGCUCAUCACAUCCUGGGGCUGAAGUAGGUCCCAAGGGUAUGGCUGUUCGCCAUUUAAAGUGGUACGCGAGCUGGGUUUAGAACGUCGUGAGACAGUUCGGUCCCUAUCUGCCGUGGGCGCUGGAGAACUGAGGGGGGCUGCUCCUAGUACGAGAGGACCGGAGUGGACGCAUCACUGGUGUUCGGGUUGUCAUGCCAAUGGCACUGCCCGGUAGCUAAAUGCGGAAGAGAUAAGUGCUGAAAGCAUCUAAGCACGAAACUUGCCCCGAGAUGAGUUCUCCCUGACUCCUUGAGAGUCCUGAAGGAACGUUGAAGACGACGACGUUGAUAGGCCGGGUGUGUAAGCGCAGCGAUGCGUUGAGCUAACCGGUACUAAUGAACCGUGAGGCUUAACCUU